rnacentral:rRNA from 1 species
CGUGGGAACGUGCCCUUUGCUACGGAAUAGCCCCGGGAAACUGGGAGUAAUACCGUAUGUGCCCCUUGGCCUUGGCGGUCAUGGGGGAAAGAUUUAUCGGCAAAGGAUCGGCCCGCGUUGGAUUAGGUAGUUGGUGGGGUAAUGGCCCACCAAGCCGACGAUCCAUAGCUGGUUUGAGAGGAUGAUCAGCCACACUGGGACUGAGACACGGCCCAGACUCCUACGGGAGGCAGCAGUGGGGAAUCUUAGACAAUGGGGGCAACCCUGAUCUAGCCAUGCCGCGUGAGUGAUGAAGGCCUUAGGGUUGUAAAGCUCUUUCAGCUGGGAAGAUAAUGACGGUACCAGCAGAAGAAGCCCCGGCUAACUCCGUGCCAGC